rnacentral:lncRNA from 1 species
ACAACUACAUAGUUGAGUACUUGCAAUGGACUAUAUAGCCCAUAUAUCGUAAAAUAUUUACCAUCUGGCACUUUAUAGAAAAUGCUUGCAGAACCUUGAUCUUAAAACUAUUAUAGGGUUUUUAGAUGCUGUUUUAUCAUAUACCUAAUUUGGUCAUCAAAACAGCCUAUGAGGUAAGUACUAAGUAACUGAGGCACAGAGAGGAUGUGACCUCCCCAGGGUCAGACUAAGUUGCAGUCAGGAUUUGAAUCCAGACAGACUGACCGUAGAGCUCCCUGCUGGAUCUGAGGGAGCCAGAGUGCUCAAGUGUAGCUAGACUCUGGCCCACCAAAGCAUCACCACAGUUGAUGCUGAAUACUUCAUUUCAUGCAUCUGAUAAGCAUGUUCCACCUCACCACAUUUCCUCCAGAAUAGGGUCCAAGCGCAUUUCUGUGAACAUAUUUUACAGUCACCCGCUUCCCUAACAUAACACACCAGCCCACCCAGGCAGUGGAGAGACAUCGUUAGGAGCAAAAGGCUUUGCUGUCCCAGAAGUCUGGGGUUACACCCGUGCUCUCCUAUUCACUUGUAUGCUUGAGCAAUGUAUUUAACUUCUCUUUGAGCCCCAAUUUUCUCAUCUGUAAAAUGGGAAUAAUAACAAACUUGUGCAGGUGACCUGAGUUCAUCUAUGAAAGCUAUUAGUACAAUGUUUGACAAUCACUUAAGAGUUCAAUACUGUAAAUGUUAGUCAUUAUUAUUCAAAUUGAGCAUACUGCUUUAAUUAUUUAUGUUGAGGCCAUUGGAAUACUGCAUAUUUCUCAAACUUUGAUCCACAAUAAAUACGUUUGACUUCAUAAUUCCUUAAAUAUAUACCUGUGUAUAUGUGUGCACAUAUAUAUGAAAAAAAAUUUCCAAAGCAAUACUUGCCCUUAUUACAUAAGAUGCUGUACUCCAACAUUCUUUAUUCUAUUAUGUUUCAUGUCAUGUAAAAGCUAACAAUGUCACCAUUUAUUUUUUGGCAUACUAGUGAGUCAUGACCUACACUUUGAAAAACAUGGAUAAAGAGUAAGCAAAAGCUUUGAAAAUUCAGUUGUACCAUUCAUAUGCUCUGUGAGCUUGGGCAAGUUACUCCAUCUCUCUGAACCUAAUUUCUUCAUCUAUGUAGUGGAGAUAAUGGCCCCUAAUUUGUUCAGGAUUAGAGGUAAUGUAUUUACAUAGUAAGCAGGUGCUAAGUAAAUGGUACUUGUUAGAUUACCAAAAGAAUGUAACAUCCGGCUCUUUUUUAAAACUUAAUAUGCACUCUAUAUACAAACCAAGAUGCCCUGGAUGCCUGCCUGUCAGAGCCAUGCUUGGGCAUAAGUUAUUUAAAUCUAGCAUGAACAGGCCCUCUUUUUUAACCAUAGAGAUUCCACUCUCUCUCUAAAUCCUGAGGAUCUUAGAUUCUUUCCCAGGAAUCAAGACCAAAGUAGAAGAAAAGAUGGCUGGUAAGUUUCACCACACAUAUGUUGGGCAAUAGGCGUUACUUUGGUGGCUAUGGGACACAAGGGAUAGCCAGUAAGAAUGGGAACCACUCUCCAUGGAAGCUCCUUGUCCCUCUCCAAAGCACAUAUCAUUACUUCCUCUAUCACUGCUUUUUUGGAGCACAAGUCUGGCCUAAUAAAGGGCCUUCUUUGCAUUUGGCCAAAUCAGAGCCUUGAAUCUCAGGUAGGUUGGUGUCUCAAGCUGUACCCUAAACUCACAGAGUACCAGAGCUAGAACAUUAUCUUUUUUUUUUUUUUUUUUUGAGAUGGAGUGUGGUGGAACAAUCACAGCUCACUGCAGCCAUGACUUCCCAGACUCAAGCGAAGUGAGUUGGUGGGACUACAGGCAUGCACCACCACACCCAGCUAAUUUUUUAUUUUUUGUAGAGAUGGGUCUUGCCAUGUUGCCCAGGCUAGGCUUGAACUCCCGGGCUGAAGCCAUCCUCCUGUCUUGGCUUCCCAAAAUGCUGGGAUUAAAGGUGUGAGUG